rnacentral:rRNA from 1 species
UACGUAGGGUGCGAGCGUUGUCCGGAAUUAUUGGGCGUAAAGAGCUCGUAGGCGGUCUGUCGCGUCGAUCGUGAAAACUUGGGGCUUAACCCUGAGCUUGCGGUCGAUACGGGCAUGACUGGAGUUCGGCAGGAGAGACUGGAAUUCCUGGUGUAGCGGUGAAAUGCGCAGAUAUCAGGAGGAACACCGGUGGCGAAGGCGGGUCUCUGGGCAACAACUGACGUGAGGAGCGAAAGCGUGGGGAGCGAACAGG